rnacentral:lncRNA from 1 species
UUGGUUUAGGGUUUGAUUGGGAUUUAUUUAGGAUUUAGGAUUUGGUUUAGGGUUUAGGAUUUGGAUUAGGAUUUGAUUAGGAUUUGAUUUAGGAUUUAGGAUUUAGUUAAGGUUUGGUUUAGGAUUUAGGAUUUGGUUAGGAUUUGAAUUAGGGUUUAGGAUUUGGAUUAGGAUUUGGUUAGGAUUUGAUUUAGGGUUUAGGAUUUUGAUUAGGAUUUGAUUAGGAUUUGAUUUAGGAUUUAGAAUUUUAAUUAGGAUUUGAUUAGGGUUUAAUUUAGGAUUUAGGAUUUGGUUUAGGGUUUGAUUAGGAUUUGGUUUAGGAUUUAGUUAGGAUUUGGUUUAAGGUUUAUUUAGGAUUUGAUUUAAGGUUUAGGAUUUUAUUAGGAUUUAAGAUUCAAUUAGUUUUGGCCUAAAAUUUGAAUGAAGUUCAAUAGGAUCUUAACUAGAAUUAAAUUAAGAUUGAAUUGAGAUGUAUUUGAGUGAUAUUUGUAAUCCUUUUAAUAUUUCUUUAAGAAUUCUUAUUGUUUAUUUGAAAUUUCUUUGAGGUUUUUCUGAAUUUGAUUAAGC